rnacentral:rRNA from 1 species
AAUAAGUUGUUGCAGUUAGAACGCUCGUAGUCGGAUUUCGGGGCGGGCCGACCGGUCUGCCGAUGGGUAUGCACUGGUCGGCGCGUCCUUCCUUCCGGAGACCGUGCCUACUCUUAACUGAGCGGGGGCGGGAGACGGAACUUUUACUUUGAAAAAAUCAGAGUGUUUCAAGCAGGCAGCUCGCUCUUGCAUGGAUUAGCAUGGGAUAAUGAAAUAGGACUUCGGUGCUAUUUUGUUGGUUUCGAACACCGAAGUAAUGAUGAGAAGGGACAGUCAGGGGCACUCGUAUUCCGCCGAGAGAGGUGAAAUUCUCAGACCAGCGGAAGACGAACCACUGCGAAAGCAUUUGCCAGGGAUGUUUUCACUGAUCAAGAACGAAAGUUAGGGGAUCGAAGACGAUCA